AAGACGGGCCGUGAAGUGAAAGGCCCCCAAGGGCGGCCUGACUCUUUCUUGUUGGGUGUUAGAGAUGUGAUGUUUGCCAGAAACAAAGCAGACAAGGUCUUAGCCUAUUUGGCUAAAACAAUUUUGCACUGUUGAAAAGUAGAAAAGGGGCCAAAAGGAGGAGAUGUAGCAGCUCAGAAACAGAAGAAGAAUAAAGAAAGAAAUGAUUGAGAUGAUUCUGCGGGGCAACCUUGAGGAUUUCUCAUCCAUAUGAAUGAGGGCGUCAUGUUAUCGGCUGUGGCCCUGUGCUGAGUCCUCCUCCUGCCCACGGCCGUCUCCUCCCGGUCUGUGGUCAGCCACCUGAACAUGGCCGACUUUGUCUUCAGUUUCCUCUGCGUCGGCAUUGGGCUCCUGAUUUGUCUUCAGCCUGACGCUCUUUUCAGUUAACUGGAAGGUGGUGCACCCAAGCCCGGUGGUGUCCUGCCUGGUGACCUCCUACCUGUGCUGGGAAGCCAGCGACUUGAUGCUGCACCCCGGUGAGGGCGAGGCCUCGGGAGGAGGGUGGGGCCUCGGGAAGUGGGUGGGGCCUAGAGUGGGACUCGUAGUCCAGCGGCCCACCUAGCCAUCUCCCAGGAGCUGUGUCCUACCUAAGCCCAGUGGGCAUGUGGAGCAGAGGGCAGCCCUUGAAUGCGCGGCGGCUGAGCUAUCGUGGGUGAGCCUUGCAGCAGCGCACAGCAAGGCGGACAUCCAAACAGCGGAACUCAGACACAGACUCCGAGCACACCCUGGGCCUUCCUAUUUCGUGCACCCUCAAGGAGGAGAACCAAGCACUUCCCAGGAAU